rnacentral:rRNA from 1 species
GACGAACGCUGGCGGCGUGCCUAACACAUGCAAGUCGAACGGAACUUACCGAAUGAAGUUUUCGGAUGGAUUUUGAUAAGUUUAGUGGCGGACGGGUGAGUAACGCGUGAGUAACCUGCCUUCAAGAGGGGAAUAACGUUCUGAAAAGAACGCUAAUACCGCAUAACAUACGGAUGUCGCAUGGCAACCGUAUCAAAGAUUAUAUCGCUUGAAGAUGGACUCGCGUCCGAUUAGCCAGUUGGCGGGGUAACGGCCCACCAAAGCGACGAUCGGUAGCCGACCUGAGAGGGUGAUCGGCCACAUUGGAACUGAGAGACGGUCCAA